rnacentral:sRNA from 1 species
AACCCUGGGGAGUUGGUACUGGAUCACAUUGUGGAGCGCAAGCGACUGGAUGACCUUUGCAGCAGCAUCAUUGACGGCCGCUUCCGGGAGCAGAAGUUCCGGCUGAAGCGCUGUGGUCUGGAGCGCCGGGUAUACCUGGUGGAAGAGCAUGGUUCCGUCCACAACCUCAGCCUUCCUGAGAGCACACUGCUGCAGGCUGUCACCAACACUCAGCGCACAGCAGACAUUAAGGAGUCAGCCGCCUACCUGGCCCUCUUGACGCGGGGCCUGCAGAGACUCUACCAG